rnacentral:rRNA from 1 species
CCUACGGGCGGCUGCAGUGGGGAAUAUUGGACAAUGGGUGAAAGCCUGAUCCAGCCAUGCCGCGUGUGUGAAGAAGGCCUUCGGGUUGUAAAGCACUUUCAGUGGGGAAGAAAGCCUUGGGGCUAAUACCCUCGAGGAAGGACAUCACCCACAGAAGAAGCACCGGCUAACUCCGUGCCAGCAGCCGCGGUAAUACGGAGGGUGCGAGCGUUAAUCGGAAUUACUGGGCGUAAAGCGCGCGUAGGCGGUCUGAUAAGCCGGUUGUGAAAGCCCCGGGCUCAACCUGGGAACGGCAUCCGGAACUGUCAGGCUAGAGUGCAGGAGAGGAAGGUAGAAUUCCCGGUGUAGCGGUGAAAUGCGUAGAGAUCGGGAGGAAUACCAGUGGCGAAGGCGGCCUUCUGGACUGACACUGACGCUGAGGUGCGAAAGCGUGGGUAGCAAACAGGAUUAGAUACCCCGGUAGUC